CAGCUAUAUAAUUAAGCUGUCCCAGCUGCCUCUCUUCCAUCAGGCUCCAGUAACGCUAUGAUAGGCAAAAGGCGGUGCCACAUACCUGUGUUCCCUGAUGAGCCCAGGGAGGAUGCUGUGGUUGGCAUCCAACAGCUUAAUCACAAAGGAGUUCAUUCUUGGAGCACUUGGUACCUACGGCUGU